rnacentral:rRNA from 1 species
UACGUAGGGGUGCGAGCGUUGUCCGGAAUUAUUGGGCGUAAAGAGCUCGUAGGCGGUUUGUCGCGUCGGCCGUGAAAACUUGGGGCUUAACCCCAAGCUUGCGGUCGAUACGGGCAGACUUGAGUUCGGCAGGGGAGACUGGAAUUCCUGGUGUAGCGGUGAAAUGCGCAGAUAUCAGGAGGAACACCGGUGGCGAAGGCGGGUCUCUGGGCCGAUACUGACGCUGAGGAGCGAAAGCGUGGGGAGCGAACAGG